rnacentral:rRNA from 1 species
GAUCCUGGCUCAGGAUGAACGCUAGCUACAGGCUUAACACAUGCAAGUCGAGGGGCAUCAGUUUGGUUUGCUUGCAAACCAAAGCUGGCGACCGGCGCACGGGUGAGUAACACGUAUCCAACCUGCCUCAUACUCGGGGAUAGCCUUUCGAAAGAAAGAUUAAUACCCGAUAGCAUAUAUUUCCCGCAUGGGUUUUAUAUUAAAGAAAUUCGGUAUGAGAUGGGGAUGCGUUCCAUUAGUUUGUUGGGGGGUAACGG